AGAGUUUGAUCAUGGCUCAGGAUGAACGCUAGCUACAGGCUUAACACAUGCAAGUCGAGGGGAAACGACAUCGAAAGCUUGCUUUUGAUGGGCGUCGACCGGCGCACGGGUGAGUAACGCGUAUCCAACCUGCCCACCACUUGGGGGAUAACCUUGCGAAAGUAAGACUAAUACCCAAUGACGUCUCUAGAAAACAUCUGAAGGAGAUUAAAGAUUUAUCGGUGAUGGAUGGGGAUGCGUCUGAUUAGCUUGUUGGCGGGGUAACGGCCACCAAGGCGACGAUCAGUAGGGGUCUGAGAGGAAGGUCCCCCACAUUGGAACUGAAGACACGGUCCAAACGUCCUACGGGAGGCCA
rnacentral:rRNA from 1 species